CAGUUGAUGAGAAGUUAAAAAAGCGAUGGAUGAGCUUAACUCCCAUGGUCUGA
rnacentral:misc_RNA from 1 species